CGCAGAGUACGGAUCCCACGGGAGCGCCUAAUCCCUUGCUUAGGCAAAAAGUAACUGAGUCGAACGGAGCGGCUAAUUCCUUCACCGAGAUCCCCGACGCGACCGAGGCGUUCCACAAUCGCGCCCCAUCCAAAUGCAUCCUGAGAUUAUGCUUCCUCGCCACCACUAUCAACUCCUCGACCCACGAUUGAGGGUAUGAAGAUUCACACCAGCUACUUGCGCCGCAGCAGCCUGUUCAUGAAGAAAUACGUGCGAUUCGUCUCCGCAGUAAGCUUCGCUGCCGCGUACGUUGCAGUGAUUCAUAACUGGAAAAGGAGACACAGAGCAUAUUUUUCUGAACAAAAUGCGCUUGGCUUUUUGCAACCUUAUAUUUCAAUUUAUAAAUUUUCAUUUAUUUUUAUUUAAAUGAUUUCAAUCGGUUGAAGCAUUAAUAAGUGCAUAAAAGUUCUGCGUUUUUUACAAAUCGAUUAUAAUUUUCUAUAAAAUACAUAUAUGUUUAAACAUCUAAUUUGUUGCCCGUGUUGGCAAUUUAUUUCAUUAAAAUUAUUUGUAUGUUUAUUUAGAAUUUUAAUAAAAAUAGAAGCCAUUUUUCUAUUAGCUAAGAGAAGUUGCUUCUUUCGUGAUAAGUAAAUUAUAUUAAAUAUAUUUGGAGUAUUAAAUAUAUAAAGAUGAUUUUGGUUAAUCUUUUAAUAUAUCGGUUUAAGAAAAUCGUGAAGAAAUGUACAAAAAUUGUUUAUCAGUUUUUACCAGCAAUCAAGUUUCCCAUAGUACCAGAGUUAACAAAAAGCGCAUCUUCUUUUCCAAGCAACGCCGCUGCUUUUUUCUGUAAUUCUAGAAAAUAAUAAAAUUAUUCGAUUAAAGGAUUAUACUGCUAAAAUUUCGCGCUUUAAAUAGAAUAUAUAGGCUGUCCAAAAAAUCGUGAUCGAAACUGGCGAGGGAAUCAUUCUUGUGUGUAGAAGAUAAAAAUAAGAUAAAGAAAAAUAAAGAUAAAUUAUU